rnacentral:misc_RNA from 1 species
UCAACCCUCAAGCCACGCUUGGUGUUGGAUGUGAUCGUCGUGAUGACGAUCCGUCCCGAAGACAAUGACGGUGUCGCGACGUGCCCCGGUACAUGGAGCUUUCACAGCACGUACUGGCGUUGGCUGCGUGACCCCGGCCCCGGUGGACCCAUUCGUGGGUUCACUCUGUUUUUACAA